GUUUUUUUUUUCUCUCUCUCUCUCUGUUUUUUUUUCUCUCUCUCUCUCUCUCUCUCUCUCUGGUUCUAUCUCUCUCUCGCUCGCUCUCGCGAAGAGAGAGAGAGAGAGAGAGAGAGAGAGAGAGAGAGAGAGAGAGAGAGAGAGAGAGAGACCUGUGUU
rnacentral:sRNA from 1 species